AUGCUCUCAGAAUCGAUAGGGUCGGAUGUGAUUGGCUCUGGUUCUGGUUGUUCUUCUGUGGCAGGCGUCGCUUGCUCAGGUUCUACUUGUUCUUCUGUGGCAGGCGUCGCUUGCUCAGGUUCUGGUUGUUCUUCUGUGGCAGGCGUCACUUGCUCAGGUUCUGGUUCGGCUUGGGCUGGGUCUUCAACAGGAACUGGAUCAUCUGGUGCUGCAACCUGUGCUUCUAUGACUGAAGCUGCCUCAACAGCUGAUAUUUUCAGUUCUGAGACAGCAGAUGGUUCUUCUGGAGGAGGAGCAGAGUUUUGUUCUUCUGGAGCCUUUUCUGCUGCUGCAGCUUUUUCCUCCACAACUGAUUUCUCUGCCACCAGAUCUUUUGCCACAGGAGCUGUUUCCACUGCUUUAACAGCUUUUUCCUCCACAGCAGGAGCCGGGGCUUCUGCUACCGAAGCAAGUUCCUCUGCCACUGGAGCCGCUUUGGCGUCUGCGGUUUUCUGUUCUGGAGGUUCUUCCUCUUUUGUUUCGGGAGCUUCUUUGUCUGGAGGUGCAGAUUUAGGAUCCUCUGGAGCAGCUUCUGCUUCAGAUGCUGCUGUAGUCACAACUGUCUCCUCCACAGCACCAUUUUCCCCGGCUGAGGGCGGGGCUCCAUCCUCCACUUUAGCAAACUCUCCUGCACCAGCAUCUGUUGCUGCAGCUUCAUCCUUUUUGUUUUUUGGGUCGCUUACAUCAUAUCCUUUCUUCUUUUUGCUCACUUUGCCUCCCAUGAUGGCUCCUAGAAAGUAAAAAACAAUGUUAAUAUAAGAAAAUCUCAUGAUUGAGCUUUGUUAAUAAAAUAUUUUUAUUUCAGUCAUCCACUUGAAACACAAAACAAAUGUAAUCUGCAUGACCUGACUCACACAGAAGUAUCAAAUUAAAAUAUGACUUCCACAUUUAUUUAAAAUGUGGCUUCAAAAGUGGAGUGUCCAUGUCAAUAGAGAAGUAUCUUGCAAAGAGAAUGAGAAGUUCACUCGAGAAUCUGAUGUCUGCCAACAACAGUUUGGCCGGGAAGCCAGUUCUUGCCUGGGAACUGAGGUCAGACAGUCUUAAAGACUGUCGUCUCUUUCAGGAAAGCCUGGAGAGGACGGCUGCCAAACGAGGCCCUGAUUUUAACUGGACACCCAUGAUGCACAAGGAUUUCUCUCGUGGUUUGGAAAAAGUGAAAGUAUUCAGCUCCACCAGGUCCUCGACAUUCCUAGGAGAAGGAUUCACAUAACGCACCAAAUUUGGUGCUGUAAAUCCAUGGAGAACCGGGGCUUGGACGUGAUGCAUUAUGAACGGAGUAAGUGUGUAAACAUGGAGACGUUCAGAUUAAAAUGAUGACUCGGUUUUGGCGGUAGAGGAAGUGCAUGAUUACCAGUGAACAGAGUAGAGACAGAAGAGGGAACUAAAAGUUUGUGUUCACAGCAAUCCCAGAACAAACAGGAAUGUUUGGACGCAAACAUCCCAUUAGAAGCUGUAUUGUUCUGCUUUUCAAAGACAGAAUUCCAGAUCAUUUAAAUAUGAUGUCAUGAAAAAGCCAAAAUGGUGUCAAGUUGCAGGUCAUCUGGGGGUCACAGGUGGGAACAAUCUGGGAGCUGUCCAUAGUGCUGCAAUCGCCCAAUCAGGACGUGCCAUUAAAUCCAUAUGCACAUAUUUACGUUUAACUGGAUUAAAAUUAAAAUAAACAAGGUAAAUGGGAAACACACGUUUAAUAUAGUAAAUAUGUCAGCGUUUGGGUGUGUUCUUCCUAGACAAAGCAAAAGACAAAUAAAAUCCAGCCUGAGGAGCAACUUUAUGGAUAAAUAAUUUAUCACCAAAUCCAAACAGCUUUGUAAUUCACAUGGGAUCAGAUUUUAUGGAUAGGUGAAGACAAUAGACAUUUUUUUUAAUUAUUGUUUUAGGGAAGAUGGACUCAGGCGAAUACAAAUGGAGCCCCAGGCAGGCCCUUAACAAAGGAAGAGGACCCCCUCAUCAGCAGAGGCUCGGCUACGGUUAGAAACCCCUCAAACCCAAUAACUGGAUCCAACUAAAGCAGAAUUAAACUAAACACUGGUCACGAGCGCACGGGUGAGGAGCUAUAGGGGGAGAAAGGGAGAGGGAGGUCUCCAUCCCCCAUCUCCAGCCUCCCACCCUGCCUCCCCCAGCUGCUCUGCCCUUUUUUGUUCAAGACGGUUUCAGAAAGUGUCGCUCCAACAGGAGCGUUACAAACAAAGCCCUGUGAGGGUCCAGCUGCAACUUUCUGCUGUUUCUCUAUCCCUUCGUCCUUCAGGCGCCUACAAGACCUCAGAUAAAAGUGGGAUUUAGCGUUAUCAAAAAAGUAAAAGGAGAAGAGUAAGAAAAGAGAACAAAGGGUAAAUCGGCGACUUCCUCCCUUUCUCUUUUUCUCUAAAUGUAACACAGAAAGAUCUGUACCUUAUUUAGGGAAACUGGUUGGUUUUCCUUGCCAGUAGCAGAGCGGAUGCGAUGAUAACGGAGGUAAAAAAGAAGAAAGCCUUCCGGGAGUGACAGCUGCAGAUUCCGCCCCUGCUCUCCGAGGUGCGGCGUGUUGUACCCGAGCAGUGCCCCUCGCACUUCUCUGGACAUCUGUCGCUAUCACGAUCCAGCCAACCCCAGGUCUGCUCUGUCUGCAAUCUACACCUCCCAAUCUUUAACCCCUCCUCCCUCCCUCCCUCCCUCACACUACAGCGAACAAACCCUGGAACAUGGCCAUCACGCUUAUUAAAUGUGGGGUUUUCUGCUUAUUGUUUUGCUAAAAAAGAAAUAAGCAGGAAAUCCCGUCAGCAUUAGUGAAGCAUUGCAGCAAUGUCAGGUAUCAGCCACCUGCAGGCUGUUUUCUGUCUGGAGUCGUCCCUCAGCAGAAGAUCCACGUUUUUAUUUUACAGAGUGAUCACUUCAGCCCAUAUUUUGCAUCUGAACACUGAUAUUAUAAAUGUCUAAUCACAACAUGGGGCACGUAAAGAGGGGUGUGGUUGUUAUAUUAGCCACGACGAUCCACACCUAUUUGCUAUUUGUCUCCCAGGUGGUAAUGGGACACAAUGAGAGGGUGAAAUUCAACAGCUGGAUCUUCCACACACUCAUGUUGUCGAGUUGAAACAUAUUUGCUACCUUAAAAGGUAUGAAAACCAUUAGUGAUCAACAAAAUGAGCAUCAAUCAGCACCAAAAACUGAGCAAUAAGCUCAAUUUUCAUUCAAACUACAGAAAAUGUUAUUUUAUCUGCAAAAGCCUUUGAGUAAAAGUAAAGAUUAGGGUUGUCUGUUUUCGACAUUUUUUUCUUUAUUUAACAGAUACUGGGAUGGGGGGGGGCAUGACCGUUUACAAAUCAGGGGUUUGAUUAAAUCAGUUUAAAUAAGGAGACUGCUCUUUAAGAGGCUUUAAAAGAAGCUGGAUGGAUACUGUUGUGGUUAUUAAUUCAAUCAUGACACAUUUUAGUGUAACACGGUUAAAAAAAUGAUAACUGUGAUUAAAAGACAUUCACAUCUCCUGUAAACUGCAAUGUUUGAAAAGUUACACUUAAAAAAAACAUAAAAAUGUGAUGUUACAGAAGUGGAAGUAGACAGAUUGUAUAGGGAGACAGCACCCUCUCCUGUCAUUAGACCAAUCAACACACAAAACAUCUUUAUAUCAUUUUGUAAUCACAUUUUGUCACCCUGAAAUAAAAAUAUCUACCUUUUAAAAGUGUGGAAUACUGAAAAGCCAUUUUUAAAUUCAUAUUUCUGAUUAUAAUCAGUAGGGAUGCACAGCAUAUCGGCAUCAAUAAUGGUAUCGGCCAAUAUUUUCAAAUAUAGGUAUCGGUCCAAUAAGUACAACUGGGCCGAUAUCAACAACGGAUUUUUUUUCAUCUUGCUUUGCCUUUCUGUUUUAGAGAGUGAGGGGGUGAUGGUGCUUGUUUAGCCAUGUGACAGUGAUGGUAAUCAUCUAGCAUUAGUGUGUGUGUGUGUGUGUGUGUGUGUGUGUGUGUGUGUGUGUGUGUGUGUGUGUGUGUGUGUGUGUGUGUGUGUGUGUGUGUGUG
rnacentral:lncRNA from 1 species